rnacentral:rRNA from 1 species
UAAGAAUUUAAAAGUCGAACAGACUCAUCCCUAAGAAUACUGCUUCUUAAAAUUUUCUUAAUUCAACAUCGAGGUCGCAAAAUAAAAUAUAGAUAUGAACUCCCCAUUAAAAUUACGCUGUUAUCCCUAAGGUAACUUAAUCUUAUUUUCCUAUUAUUAAGGAUCUAAAAUAACAUAUAUAAAUGAAUUUUUAAACUAAAGUUAACUUAUUUAGUCACCACCCCAGCAAAAUAUAAAUUAACAUUAAAAAAUAUUAAAAUAAAAAUUAAUAAUAUAAACUAAUAUAAAGUUCUAUAGGGUCUUAUCGUCCCAAUAAGUCAAUAAAGCAUUUUAACUUUAAAUUUAAAUUUUAACAUUUAAAAAAAUAAAAUAUAAUUCUCAUACAUCCAUUCAUACAAGCUUUCAAUUAAAAAACUAAUUACUAUGCUACCUUUGCACAGUCAAAAUACUGCAGCCAUUUAGAAAUUUUUAAACCAUAGGGCAGAAGAUACUUUUUAUAUAAACA